rnacentral:lncRNA from 1 species
AGCAAAUAAAUUUGAACACAUGUAAUAUUCUUUGGAACUUCAAUUUUAUAUGGCACAGUCUUAAUAUGGCAAUACUUUACAAAAAUAUUUGGACACACCAAGUCCUAACAAAAUACAUAUAAUUCUGCUUAACAAUCUAACUCAAAUUGUAAGUGCCUACUCUAAGAUUGUUUGGCCAUUUAAAGUCAGAUUGAACUAAGUAAAAAUUGGAAAAGAAUUAUAUUCCAUACCACUCAUAUUUUUUUACAGUAUCAUAUGUUAACAGAAACAACAGUAUUUUUCAUGGUCUAAAUCUUCUAAACUCUACAAAACUUUCCAUUGUGUACCUUACUGAUCAAAUUUGCAUGUGAAUGGUUAAAAAUAUAUCACCAAAAUAUAAUCAGUAUUGGGUUAUCUAUCUUUGCUAUCAUUUCAAAUUAUCUCCCCUCAACUUUUAUGAAACUAUUUUGCUGCUGUUGUUUUUCUGUGCAAAAAAAUCUAGAAGGUUAUUAUUUACAUUUAUUCACAACCUAAUCUAAGCAAACUAU